AUAUAUAUAUAUAUAUAUAUAUAUAUAUAUAUAUAUAUAUAUAUUGGAGUGUUUAUGAUGAUUAAAUUGAAGAUUUUAACCAUAUAUGAAAGUUGCAUGUUUUUGAUGGGGUGUGCCUAGUAAUCCGUGGGUAUUUGAAUUUGCACCAAUUUCCUGCAAUGUCAUCAUGAAUUUCCAUUAUCUAGAGAUGCCAAAGAAAGAUUUUAUCGAUGUAGACAAAUGUUGUACUUCCGGUUUGGGUACUCCCACUAAAGGGUGGGGCCUGAUUGUGAACUAGUAAUCCGUAGUUUUGCUUUUGAUAUCUUUACAAAUGGCACUGAUAGCUAUUUCCGUAUGAAUAUAUAGGAGUUAUAAAUAAUGCGCGAAUGAAUCUUGAAACAUAUAGCACGUCCAUUUCACGACUGGAAAUUCCUACAGAAUAAGCGUAAAAGGAAAAUGUAGAAUUCCAACGUGUAAUGAAGUUGAUUCAGUUUUGCUGAUUUAGCAUUUUGUAUUUUUCGUUUCUUUUGAUUUUGAUGUGAAUGGGUUAUUGUAAGAGGAAGUCGGGUGUGAGUUAUUUUUAGUUGCUAGUGUAAAAGAGACCGGUUUGGCUGGCUGUAAGUUAGAUAGGGCACGGUAACGACAUCAGCCGGGUGCCACGUUGACAAGUCCUAGAAGUGUGGGGGAUAGUUAUUUUCCUGUCAAGAUUUUAUGUAGGACAUUUGGAGAAAUAUAACUACUGAAAUAGGAGUUUGUUCGGAGGGCACAUCUUUUUCCUAGCCGUGCGUACAUGGGUGUUUAGCAAAACCACUUUCAACCCGAAGGCAGACAGAGAGUUGCGGGAUCUGGAUGUACGGAGGUCCAUGCGGAUAUUGUGCUAGAAUAAGGAAGGCGUGGUUUAGCUUCGUAGAGGAUAACCCGUAGCUCCGUAGAGGAUAACCCGAGACUUGGGAGGCAUCGGAACCCAGGUGUAUAGUCGGGAAUUAACGAUAGCUCAUGCAAGGCUUGCAUGGUGGUGGAGUGUUUUUCAUUCUGGGCUUGUUUAUCGCAGGUUGACGGGAAACCGGAACAGUGUCUUCGGAGUGCAGAUUAGUUACAUUAAAAAAAUUAAGUGAUUCAAAAUUUAGAAACAAAAACAAAGAAUAUUGUAUUACAGAAAAGGAGAAUUGCAUAUUUGGAACUUUUUUCUAAAUUAUACUACUGUUAAAAUAUUGUUUUAACUUGAAAAGUUAAAACCUGUACAUUUGCUUUACAUCUGAUACGUACUAUCGGACUUUUCAACAUAGAACUGUGUUUAUUACGUAUCAGAUAUCUGUAUUGUCAUUUGUUUGUUGAUGUAAAUUUGUGUUGAGUGAAAGGAGUGAGUGUGAAUAUUUUUUAUAUCAAUUAUUUAUUAAAUUAAUAAA